rnacentral:rRNA from 1 species
UACGUAGGGGGCGAGCGUUGUCCGGAUUUAUUGGGCGUAAAGAGCGUGUAGGCGGUUUUGUAAGCCAGAUGUGAAAUCCCCGGGCUUAACCUGGGAAUGGCAUUUGGGACUGCAAGGCUAGAGUGUGGCAGAGGAGACUGGAAUUCCUGGUGUAGCAGUGAAAUGCGUAGAUAUCAGGAGGAACACCGGUGGCGAAGGCGGCCCUCUGGACGGAUACUGACGCUGAGGCGCGAAAGCGUGGGGAUCAAACAGG